UACAGAUGUAGCCCAGCAGCCCAGGCUCUUGUGGGGGCUCCUGGGGACCCUCUGCAUAGUGACUACCAACUCCUAGUGAGAUCCUGAGUUCCAGCCUGCUGGAUACAGAGGUGCUUCCCGCAGGUGAUGGGAAGCCAGUCUGUAAGCCAAGAUUCUAAGAGCUUCCAUGGGGAAAUGCAAGAUAUGAUCUCUGCCUGGAAGCAAUUUUCUUGUUGUUUUAUUGAAACGAGAAAUGCACUUUGGAAACAGAAAAGGAAGGGAAAAUUUUCCAUUUAGGCAACAGGAAAUCAUGAAUGAUGCCAGAGAAGUCAGCACAGAAUGUUUAUGAGCCAAUGAGGAAAGCACCAUCACUUCUAUCAGAGGUAAAGCAAUCUGCAAUGGGAACUGAAGUAUCUUCAUGGAAAUGUGUUGUGACAUGAGGAUGGCCAGGAAUGACUACACUUACUCUCCUUGGGAUCUUAUCCAGUCUCCUGGAUGGAAGGAUGACUUAAAGGCUAAUGACUUCUGAACUCUUACCUCCAGCCCAGACCUCUCCCUUAAAUCUAGACUUGUGUAUUCAAUUGCCUACUC